AAGAACUUUCUUGACAAUCUCAUCACUAAGAGCAGCAAUCUGAGAAUCAAGACUCUUAAUUGUCUCCUCUUUUUGAUUCUCUAAACUAGCCAAAGCUUCUAGCAAUUCAGCCUCAACUUUCUUCCUUCCUUCUGCAAUCUUCUGUUCCACUUCUUGCUGAGUCUCUUUCUUCAUCUUGUUCAAUGCUGCUGAUAUCUCAGCCCUUGCAGCCUUCAUAAUUGCAGCAGCUUGGUCUUCCAGUUGCUUCACUUCAGUAGAUGUGUCCUUAACACUGCUAAGUUUCUCCUUAAUAGCAGAAUCUCUUUCAUCCAUGAAUUUCCCUAAUGGGCUGAAGUAAAUCUUGUCUAAAGCAAACAUGAGAAACAGGAAUUCAGCCAUCAUGAUGGGGAGUGUCAAGUUGAAGUCAAAAAGGGAAGCUUUUUCAAUUUCCUCUGCCAGUGAAGGUGGUGCCAUGGCCAAUGAGCUUGCAAGAAUGACUGAAAUGGACUUGAGAGUUGAUGGGAUUGAGAGGGUUUCAAGGGAUUUGGGUGAUCUGGGGAGGGGUAGUUUUGGAAAAGGGAUUUGGGUGAGGGAAAGUUUGAAUCUUGGAGAUGAAGGGAUGGUGGAGGAUGAAGAAGUGAUUAAGGCUUUGGAGGAGCUCAUAAUCAUGUUGGCCAUGGCUUCUUAGAACUUGGGAUUUUUUUUAGAGGAUUUGAUUCUUGAUUUUAUUUUUCUUGGUGGUUUUAGAAGGGAAGAAGGAAAAUCUUAGAAAGGCUAUCUCAAUCUAUGCCACACAUAUUGAUGAGGCUGAGAUGGAUGUGCAACUAACUGGUCCUUUUCUUUUUUCUGAGAGUUUUUCUUUUAGUAUUUCUAUAUAACCAAAGGCAUUGGCAUUUGAUAUGCACAAAAGGUAAUUGGCUGGUAAGUAGCCUUUUGGUUUUAUUCACUAAGGAGUAACUGAAAGUUUGUGACCUGGAUUUAAGUCACUUUUUAUGCCAACAGUGUAGUUUAACCUUGGAUGAUAGGUUAGUUAAUGUUUUUAUGUGAUUAUCAACUAAUGCUUAUCGUAUAUGAGCAUUUUUUUUACACCGUCAGGGCAUAAGAAGUUAAACUUUUUCUUAAUAACCAUGGAGAUCCCAAACCAGAUUGCAGAAGUUCCAAGUGUGAUAAUAGAUGGAUUUGCUCUUUCCAAUGAGGCAAUGACCAAGAGAUAUUAGUGCAUUUGUGUUCUUAGGCAAAAUGAUGAAAAUCAAGAUUUGAUUACACACAACCUAGAAAAUAGUGUACAUGGAGAGGGAAUUGGGGGGGGGGGUGCUCUUUUACACAAUCCCAAGAGUUUUUUUUAUGCCAAACCCCAUGUAAAAUCAUGUUGCACAACUAAUUGACUGUCAUCUGCAAAUGAGGAAAUGGAAAAGAUGAUACAAAUUACUAAUUUUCUAUCAACUAGAGGUGAAUGCUUUCCAUUCAUGUGAUCGCGAUGCACUGCUCUUCUGUUUUAUUCUGCUCUCUGGGUUUGCCAACUUGUAUGGGAACCACCCUCUUAACAAAUGAACCAACCUGGAUUCACAAAUAGCUACAACACACCUGUUGUCAUUAAAAUUAGUUUGAUGGUUCUUUAAUAAAUCAUCUUGAUGGUGAUUACCCUUCCGUUCACCUCUCUUUUGUCUGCUUCCACAGCCUUUGGGUCUGCAUAAAUGCAUUUACAAAGUGGAUAUUACCUAAACUGCUCUUACAAGUUACAGUGCGUCUAUGCAAGACAAAUUCAUACAUAUAGUCAAACAUUUCAUACAUAUAUGCAUUAAACUCUGCAACACUACGUCCAUUCUUCCAAUUCUUCUGCAUUAUGACACAAAUUAAAGUAAUACAGCCAGGUUUAUAUCAGUAUGAUGAUGAGCAGUAUUGGAAAAUAUCGGCAUAGAAACUAUAAAUGGAACAUAUAUAUGUCAAUGUUCAGCAUAGAAACUAUAAAUGGGAACACCUAGAUGAACAAGAUCCAACUUUUAUAACCAAAAGUCAAACAACUAAGGCCUAGUGUCUGCAUUAUAUGGAAGAAUCAAGCAUUGAUAGCAAAGCAAUAGGGUGAAGGGCAAUAUUAGAACAGAUGAACGGACAAUAAUGACGAAGCCAGUAAACAGAACUUACAUGCUUGGUUUCAUUUUCAUGAGGGUCCUCUCUCUGAUCACGUUUUGACCAGAUUGUAACUAAUGGAGACAUGCAUCAUAAAUGUGAGCUGCACAUGCAAAAACAUCAAGAAUUAACGAGCUAAGGAAAUGUUCAAACAGUUCCACUUGUGCUUCAUAGAGGAAAAUGUACAUAUCUCAUUAGGUUGGAAGAUAUCCAUAUAAAAUCUCCAAAAGAAAGUUCUUAAAACUUAUAUAAACAGAGUUCUCUGCUUUGGCCCUUAUCUUUACUUGUAAGUGAUAAUCUGUUGCCUUUUGGUUUGGUAGAAUCAUAUGAACCAGAAUUCUCUGGAGCCUUAGUAAUUGAACCUGCUUUUACAUGUCUCUCAUCAGACCAUAUGCACCGCUUUUUAGUUUCCAAUCAAAUACUCCUACAUCGAAACAAUAAAAAUGCAAAUCGGAACAAUAAGAGCCAAAAUUCUGACUUAUAAGCUCCAUCUGUACCAGUCCACACACAUUCAACUGCAAAAUGACAUAAUCCUGAUUCAUCUAAGAAAAAAAAGUUUCUUCAAAGCCUGGACAUAAGAUGGACUGGAACUAUUGGAAUGUGGUUUCUAAUCUAAUAAUCUCUUUUUACAGAUUGCAUAUUUCAGUGCAUUAGCAACAAGCAACAUCAGCAAACCAUAUAAAGAUUAGAUAAAAGAAAACUUUCCAAAACAAUACAAUGAAUUGAGAAGAAACCUUAUCACCAUCCUUGAUCCAAUAGGUUCCUAACAAAUUAAUAUCAGUAAGUAGCUUCUGCCCAUCACAGCCCAAGCAACAAUGUCCCCGUAUAUGUCACCUGCAAGAGCAUCACAACAACAACAAAGAAAAAAACCAACAUAACAACGUGAUCACACCAAAUCUCAUCAUAUAAAUGAGACUUUUCGUGGUUACAUAAUGGAUUUGAUGAUAUGAUAUAAUGAACAAUCAAAAUAAACAUUUGUAUUUAAACUAACAACACGGUACAAUAUUACAUGUAAGAAGCAUCCAUCCAAACAAGCUGUUAACUCUUACCAAUCCCAAGAAAAAGACAUUACAACUUUUCAGAAUUAGUUACUGACAGGAAGGACUUUCUUGACAAUCUCAUCACUAAGGGCAGCAAUCUGAGAAUCAAGACUCUUGAUUGUCUCCUCCUUUUGACUCUCUAAGCUAGCCAAAGCUUCUUGCAAUUCAGCCUCAACUUUCUUCCUUCCUUCUGCAAUCUUCUGCUCUACUUCUUGCUGAGUCUCUUUCUUCAUCUUGUUCAAUGCUGCUGAUAUCUCAGCCCUUGCAGCCUUCAUAAUUGCAGCAGCCUGGUCUUCCAGUUGCUUCACUUCAGCAGAG
rnacentral:lncRNA from 1 species